rnacentral:rRNA from 1 species
AUUGAACGCUGGCGGCAUGCCUUACACAUGCAAGUCGAACGGUAACAGGUCUUCGGAUGCUGACGAGUGGCGAACGGGUGAGUAAUACAUCGGAACGUGCCCGAUCGUGGGGGAUAACGAAGCGAAAGCUUUGCUAAUACCGCAUAAGAUCUACGGAUGAAAGCAGGGGACCGCAAGGCCUUGCGCGAACGGAGCGGCCGAUGGCAGAUUAGGUAGUUGGUGGGAUAAAAGCUUACCAAGCCGACGAUCUGUAGCUGGUCUGAGAGGACGACCAGCCACACUGGGACUGAGACACGGCCCAGACUCCUACGGGAGGCAGCAGUGGGGAAUUUUGGACAAUGGGCGAAAGCCUGAUCCAGCCAUGCCGCGUGCAGGAUGAAGGCCUCGG